GCUGGCGGCGUGCCUAAUACAUGCAAGUCGUACGAGUUCUCGUUGAUGAUCGGUGCUUGCACCGAGAUUCAACAUGGAACGAGUGGCGGACGGGUGAGUAACACGUGGGUAACCUGCCCUUAAGUGGGGGAUAACAUUUGGAAACAGAUGCUAAUACCGCAUAGAUCCAAGAACCGCAUGGUUCUUGGCUGAAAGAUGGCGUAAGCUAUCGCUUUUGGAUGGACCCGCGGCGUAUUAGCUAGUUGGUGAGGUAAUGGCUCACCAAGGCGAUGAUACGUAGCCGAACUGAGAGGUUGAUCGGCCACAUUGGGACUGAGACACGGCCCAAACUCCUACGGGAGGCAGCAGUAGGGAAUCUUCCACAAUGGACGCAAGUCUGAUGGAGCAACGCCGCGUGAGUGAAGAAGGCUUUCGGGUCGUAAAACUCUGUUGUUGGAGAAGAAUGGUCGGCAGAGUAACUGUUGUCGGCGUGACGGUAUCCAACCAGAAAGCCACGGCUAACUACGUGCCAGCAGCCGCGGUAAUACGUAGGUGGCAAGCGUUAUCCGGAUUUAUUGGGCGUAAAGCGAGCGCAGGCGGUUUUUUAAGUCUGAUGUGAAAGCCCUCGGCUUAACCGAGGAAGCGCAUCGGAAACUGGGAAACUUGAGUGCAGAAGAGGACAGUGGA
rnacentral:rRNA from 2 species